CGUGUAGGCGGUUGGUCAAGUCUGGUGUGAAAGCCCGGGGCUUAGCCCCGGAAGUGCGCUGGAAACUAGCCAACUUGAGCGCGAUAGAGGAGGGUGGAAUUCCUGGUGUAGCGGUGAAAUGCGUAGAUAUCAGGAGGAACACCGGGCGGCGAAGGCGGCCCUCUGGAUCGUUGCUGACGCUGAGACGCGAAAGCGUGGGGAGCAAACAGGAUUAGAUACCCUGGUAGUCCACGCUGUAAACUAUGGGUACUAGGUGUUCGGGGUGUUGACCCCCUGAGUGCCGACGCUAACGCAUUAAGUACCCCGCCUGGGGACUACGGCCGCAAGGCUAAA
rnacentral:rRNA from 1 species